rnacentral:rRNA from 2 species
GAUUUCUGGUACGGUGCGCUUGGCCCGUAUGGCUCUGUCAUACGCGUGUCGAUGUGUGCCUGCCAUCCUUCCAGUAAACCAUCUACUCUUAACGGGGCGGGUGGCGAUCUGGAUCUUUUACUUUGAAAAAAUUAGAGUGUUUAAAGCAAGCUUGUGCGUUGAAUACAUUAGCAUGGAAUAAUAAUUUAGGACUUUAUUCCUAUUUUAUUGGUUUCUAGGAGUGAAGUAAUGAUUGAUAGGGAUAGUUGGGGGUGCUAGUAUUCAGCGGCCAGAGGUGAAAUUCUUGGAUUCGCUGAAGACUAACUAAUGCGAAAGCAUU